AGCCGAUGCUUAUUCUUCAGGUACACGUCAUUUAUUCCUCCCUUAAAAAAGAAGGUUUACAACCCAUAGGCAGCCUUCCCUCACGCUGUAUUGCUCCGUCAGGCUUUCGCCCAUUGCGGAAAAUUCCCCA
rnacentral:rRNA from 1 species